UGAUGGUGAGAGAGUUGUGAUCUGCAAUUUAAAUAAGUUGAAAUAGAAAAAGAACACUAGUAACACAACUUUUUCUAAUAUUGAAAAUUACCUCUUUUUGUUUCAAAAUAUCAACCACGAUACCGUCUACCUAAUCAACGUUUACCAAAAAUACUAUGAAUAAGAAGCAAAACAAUUCUACGCAUACCAAUAGGGAGUAGGACUACAGUAACAAUUCAUACUAAAUGAUUACAAGAAAAUAAAUUAAACAAUACAGUUUGUGUCUUAAUGUUUUCAUCGUUGUAUUGACGUUUGAC
rnacentral:lncRNA from 1 species